GUAUCGAAUCUCUCUCAGUCAUCGUAAAUUAAUUUUUUCUUCAACGAGUCUCUCUCUUUCUAUUUCUCAUCGAAGGUUGUCUAGGUUUCAGCCGAGAGAAAAAGUUUUUCUCAUCAAUACUGCAGUUUAAUCAAGCUCAUCUUCAAUAGAUUUUAGGUUUCAUCAAACCUUAUAAAUUUUUCUCAUCAAUAUUGCAGUCUAAUCAAAACCCAUUUGAGUUUUUCUCAUCAAUACUGAAAUCUCGAUCUACAAAUUCUUUCCCUGAAAACUAAAAAUCAAAUCAUUCAACCUAUGAUGUAAACUAGUUUGUUGGGUUUUCAUCAGAAUCAAUCAAGACUCUGAAAAUUGAAGUCAAAAGAAGAAGAGAAGAGAAAGAAGGGUUGGAUAGGAGAUUCAGUAAAUUCAAUCAAAUCUAUUCAGAUCAGACAACUUCUAACACAAGCCAUCACUCUUGGUUGCAGAUGGAGGAGUAUGUAUAAAUCUAACUAUCACUUCUCUGGGUAUAAAUGAGUAUGUAUAAAUCUAACUAUAACUUCUCUGGGUAUAAAUCUGAUUGUAGGAUGCAGGACCACUACUAUUAUCACUAUGGAACCACCUCCACUACGCCACUACCAUAUCCUGUACCACGGUUAACUCUAAAACCACUUGGAGAACCACCUCCUUUACCAUGUACUCUCUUUUCCUCUUUUGCAGGAUCGUCUGUUCUUAAUCAAAAACUUGAUGCUGAUCUUGUCAGAUGACUGUGUGGUUGAUGAGCUUAUCUAUGCUCAGUAGAAGUUUAGGCUUGUUAAACCCUGCCACAGGACUAACUAUUCUGCAUGUUUUGUAGAUGAAUUGAUGUGUACUCAUAUAGAAUCGUCGAUAGGAAGUUCUAUCGGGAGAGUACCCAUAUGCGGAUGUGCAUAUUGCUUCUAUGAUUGGUCAUGUAGAUGGUAAUAUUUGGUGCCGGUGUCGCUCGUUAGGAAGCUUAUUGAAAACUGAAGGAAAUUGAUCAACUGUAUAGCAAAAUCAAACUAUGAAAAGCUUGACGGGGAUCUCAAGACUGUGUUAUUUCAGGGAUCACCUAUUAUGUCAACCUAUUUGGUGGCUGCUGUUGUUGGUCUCUCUGCAAAAAUCAUUAUGGUUUUGCUUUUGGUGAAAGAUACAUCACAUGUACAAAAUUUGGGGACAUCGUGUAAUUGAGAACCGAGAUUGAGGUUCCCGGCUCUUAAGUGAUUUGGUGCGAUGGAGAUGACUGGAAUUUAGAAAAACAAGGAAUGAUAUGUUGGCCUGUUUCAGUGUUUCUACGUCCAAGUAUAUAUAGUUGAUUAUAGUGUGUGUUUGUGAAGGAAAAACUGGAAGAAAAAAAACAGUGAUGAAAAAAUCGCUGGAGUGGGCGAGAGGUUGCAGAGUUUGGUAUAUGAAGUUCAAUCCAUUGGGUCUGUUAUUCAGUGUGUCUCCGACGCAGUCGAGAUAUUCGAUUGUGCUUGCCUUCUAUCGGCUAUUUGAUGUGUUCUUUUGUUUUUCUUGGCAGGUGAUUACAUACAGUGAUGUAUUUUCCCUGACCUGGGUUAUCACAAAUGUUAAGGAGUAAGUUGAGCACUUAAAGGACUGGAUUGAAGCUCAGCUUGAUGAUGAAUCCAUAUUUCCUCGAAAGCUUGGUACGUUUAGUUUCAGUUCAAAAGAAUUACCCCAUCAAUUUUCAAGCGUCUGUUCCGUGUGUAUGCCCACAUAUAUCGUUCACAUUUCUAGAAGAUUGUGAGUCUUAAAGAGGAGGCUCAUCUAAAUACUUGCUUCAAGCAUUUCAUCAUGUUUACAUGUGUAAGAUCUCUUUACCUACUUCCUAAUACCUUCCUUCAUACCAAUUUAGAAUUUUGAUUGGCAUCCAAUUGAGAUUUU